rnacentral:sRNA from 1 species
UGAAUUUGGAUCACUUAUUCUCAAGAAUACCUUCAGAAUUUGAUUCAUCUUCAUUUCCAUGGAAAAUGUGGUAUAUUUGGAAAGCAAGGAACGAGAAAAUAUUUGAAAAUGUGGAUAAAGAUCCGUUAGACGUAUUAUGUUUAGCAGAAAAAGAGGCACAAUCAUGGCAGUUAGCUCAAUACCAAAAAUAAGGGUUUCAUGGGAUCGGAAAAACAAAUUCGGGUUCAAAAUAAAUCACACGAUAAUAUUUAUUCUGGUUUUCGUUGUUUUGUGCACGGAUCUUGAAAAUGAAGCGAUAAGUUUUCUGGAUUAGGGUGGUUUUGCAUAUCAUCAAAUGGAGACUCGCCAACCAUGGGAGCUGCUAAUCUUCAUAGAAGUCUUUCUCCACUCCAUACAGAAGUCGAAGCUCUACUCUUGGCGAUGAAGUGUAUGAUUGGUGCCGACAACCAAGAAGUAGCAUUUUUUACAGACUGUUCAGACCUGGUGAAGAUGGUGUCUUUCCCAACCAAAUGGCCAGCGUUUUCAACUUAUUUGGAGGAAUUCAAGACCGAUAAGGAAGAAUUCACAAGAUUUUCUUUAUCUUUAAUUUCUCGAACUGCAAGUGUAAAGGCGGACAAUUCGUACUGAACCGCUUCAUAUCUUUUUUGUAAACAAUUUUCCUCAGAAUUGGCUCUUUUGAGCUCUAAAUAAAAUCUGAUGACAAAAAAAAGAUAACUUUUGUAGUAUCAUUCUCAUUGCAAAGAUCUUAGCUUGUAGUUUGUAUGUUCUGUGUAUGGUUUCCUUAUCAGUUUUAAAGACUUUAGUGUUUCAAUGAUGUUUCCAACUUUAAAUUCUCUUCCUUGCUUGAUAUUUUCAGGUCACUGAAGCAGACAAUUUGUUUCAGAUAGUGGAGAGUUUCCGCUAUAUCCUCCUUUAGCUACACAAGUCAAUUUCGUUGGCAAUAUCUUUUUUUU